rnacentral:lncRNA from 1 species
AUCUUUUCAUUUUAGAUGAUUCUAAAUGGGUCUUAUGAAUGGAAAAAAUAAAAUACCAGUCUGUUACACAAAGGCACAGUAGAAAAAGUAGAAGAGAUUCCUUGUGAAGUAUUGAGCUUCCAGUGUAAUUUAUGGCAGCUUCAUACAUACUAUCUAGUCAGGCCUCUUGAUUGCAAGUGACAAAAAUCUGCAUCUGCCUUUAUUGAACUCACUGACUAAUCCUUGUAUCUAGGAGAAUGGGCAGUUCUGGCCAGCCUGGUCAGUGGGGCUGUAGGAUUGCCUUCCCUGUCAAAAAAUGAUGGAGUUAGAGAAGGGAAAUAUCCAAAAGGAGCAGAUGCUAGAGACACACAGGCAUACCCAUCCACAGAAGAAAAAGAUAUGGCUGUAUCAGAACUUAAUUAAACACAGCUCUCUGUUUGUCAAGCAGUUGGAUGGAUCCGAGAGACUUACGUGCUUAUUUCAAAUAAAAAGAUUGAUGAGCCUCUGUUGCAGGUUGCUGCAAAACUGUAAUGAUGACAGUUUGAAUGUUGCACUUCCAAUGAGAAUGCUUGAAGUAUUUUCCUCUGAGAAUACUUACUUGCCUGUUUUACAAGAUGCUAGCUAUGUGGUGUCAGUGAUUGAACAGAUUUUGCACUACAUGAUUCACAAUGGUAAGUAGUCGGCAGGGUCAGAACUGUGGCUCAGCAUCCUGAUGGGGAGUGAGCAGAGGCCAGCCUGCCGCUGUGAGCCUGUGCACUCGGUCUCAACAUCAGAGUGGGACUGAUGUCCCAGACGAGUUGUGCUUCAUCCAUGGUGCCCACCAGAGUCCCAGAUUCCAGCAUCUGUCCUCAGCUCCACCCACUCUGAAAAUUCAGAAACAUGCUACUUUCUUUGCCUUUUUCCUUUGCUUGGAAAUGAAAUUAACGUAUGCUUUCAUAAAUUGUCCCAGUACCGUAAUCCAAGAUUUGUAUCUGCAGUGCAGCUGUCAGUCCUUCACCUGAGCAGGAAGGGCUCUUAACACCUCAUGCUUAUUCGGAGUGAAUGGGAAGGAUAGUGCCACCAGUGUGUGAGUUUAACGUCACUCCGAGAGCCUUAUUACAAAGUAAAUUUGGUUACAUUAUUUUUCUUAAAAGAAUGGUGUCCUCACAUUAGUUCAGUAGAAGAGAAUAGGAUAUUUAGUUUGAAUUUUCUAACUCAUUGCUAAAAUUUUAAUACAUUGAUAAUGCUCCUAGAAUGACUGCAUUAUAUAAGCUGUAAUGAACUAUAUCUGAAACUCUUAGGGACCCAUUAGUAACACUUUUUGGAGAAAAAGUAUGAACUAAACAUGAUUUUUAAAGCUUUUAUGAAGUGAACAGUAUAUAUCCUAAAACAAAAAAACCUUCGAUCCCAACAUCCUCAUAGGUAGAAACCCAGGCACUUCAGGACUCCUGGACUUCAGAAAUGUGUGUCAUCAUUACAAAUGUAUAUGAGAGGUCUGGAAAGGGAGUUGUAAAGGGAGGUCUGGAAAGCCAUGGUAACACAUUAAAUUAUAAGUAACUGUGGUUUUGUGCUUUUGUUCACUUGAAGUGAUAGUCUGGGUUACAUUUAGCAGACUUGAAAUCUAGACGAUUUGGUCCUCUGAAUUAAAACUACAGAAAUUAAAUUCAUAUUCAUUUCAGCCUUACUGCUUGGCAUCUUCCUAUUUUUUAGACUCCUUAGUUUGUUGAAAACUUAGGGGUACUGUAUUCCAACUUAAUUAAAAGGAAACUGAAACUUGUAGAAUUUGUUCUUUUUAAAAACUAAUAAUUAAAAAUGGCUCAUUGUAUUAAUUGGUACACGCGCGCGCGCGCACACACACACACACAUACUGUUUUAAGACUAUGCAUUUGAGGAGAAUUUGUACUGUUUUCUAAAAUUGUAAGGAAAAUGGUUAAGAAAUAUGCAUCAUUUGAAAUGUGUCCCAAUACCGGAA